CUGAGAGUCAUAACUAGUAAUUGUGAAAACUUUAAUCAGCUUGAACUUGGUUAUAUGUGAGCAUUUUUUCUUAGCUAGGAAAUGUUGGCCAAGAUUUUGCUAGGAAGUUGAAGGAAAAUAUAGCUGAAUAUUAGAGUCUAUUAAUUCAAGAAAACAAAUGGAGGUGUUAUGACUUUGCUAACUUUUAUGGAGUUGUGUCUAUGCUCAGUGCCAUGGCACGGAGGAUGAAGACAGCUGUUGAAUAUGCAGCUAUUUGCAGAAUGAACUGAAAUACAGCCUGCAUCAGAUAAUCCAAAAUUAGAAAUCCAAAUUCUUCAGAAAAAGAAGUGACGUCCACAAGACCGUGGGAGUUUUUGUCUCCAGUGCCAGCCCACUGCAGGAUGAUAGACAAAGGCUGAUGCCUUCAAAGCACAGAUCAAGAAGAAGAAGGGGUUCAGAUCUAUGUGAAACCAAAGAGCAGAACUGGACUUUAGCUCAUUUAAUGAAUCUAAGAGAGCAAGGACUAUUAAUGUGCUUGCUUCCAAAGUCAGUUAUCACAUGGCCUUUGCCAAGAGGAAUCCACUACUAUUCACAUUUUAUAGUAUCAAAGAAGGGUGGCAGCCUGCUAGAGUUAUUGUGGGUAAAAUAUUACUCAGUAUUACAGAUAUGGUAAGACAUUCCAUUAACUUGCUUCAGCAGACUAUGCAUUAUAAGAGGCCUGGGGUUUGUGUUCUGACUUCUGAUUCAUAGAAAGCCAUAUCUAAUGAUAUAAGUCUCAUAUCUGAUGAGAGGAAGCAAGGAAUAGAACAGUGUGUUCCCUCACUUUCUGGGAAGGGUCCAGUUCAUAUCUGAAUUCCUGUGUCCACUUAUGAUGUAAACAAAGACCUUCACUAAUUUUCUUAAGGAAAGCCUGACAUAUGCCUUGCUAAUCUUGUUAUGAUUUUCUUUUCAAAUAACAGAUCCUGGCAAAGUUAAGGCUUAUUACAUAUGCUGGAUUCUUGGUUCUGUCAUUUUUAUCCUUA